UACGUAGGGUGCGAGCGUUGUCCGGAAUUAUUGGGCGUAAAGAGCUUGUAGGCGGUUUGUCGCGUCUGCCGUGAAAAUCCGGGGCUCAACCCCGGACUUGCGGUGGGUACGGGCAGACUAGAGUGUGGUAGGGGGGGACUGGAAUUCUCGGUGUAGCAGUGAAAUGCGUAGAUAUCGAGAGGAACACCAGUGGCGAAGGCGAGUCCCUGGACAGGUCCUGACGCUGAGGCACGAAAGCUAGGGGAGCAAACAGG
rnacentral:rRNA from 1 species